AUCUUUUUUUAUUCACAUUAUGAAUGAAUGAAAAUUUUUAUUAAGAGUGGGGGUUUUAAAUAUAUUCGCAAAACCUCGCUUUCGCUUGGUUUGCUUAAAAAAUCAUUAAUGAUCCUUCCGCAGGUUCACCUACGGAAA
rnacentral:misc_RNA from 1 species